UUAAAAACAUUUUUUUUCUUUUUUGAAACUUUUUUUAGAUUGUUCUUCAUUUUACUCUCUCUAACUUCGUUGCACGAGAAUUAGAAGUGGCAAAAUAGCCAUAAACAACGAGGAAAGACUAGAAAGAGGAUACGAAAGGAGGAUGGUGAAUCAAAAUCCACCAAAUAGUCAAAAUGCCCCAAAUAAUGGAGAACCACCCAUGUCAUCUUUGAUAGGGGGGACUAC
rnacentral:lncRNA from 1 species